GAUGAACGCUAGCGGCAGGCUUAACACAUGCAAGUCGAGGGGCAGCGCGGGAUAGCAAUAUCCUGGCGGCGACCGGCGGAAGGGUGCGUAACGCGUGAGCGACAUGCCCGUUGCCCGGGGACAACCGGUGGAAACGCCGACUAAUCCCCGAUGGGAUAUUGUGCCACAUGGCACGACAUUGAAAGUUACGGCGGCGACGGAUUGGCUCGCGUCCGAUUAGCUUGUUGGCGGGGUAACGGCCCACCAAGGCUGCGAUCGGUAGGGGUUCUGAGAGGAAGGCCCCCCACAAUGGGACUGAGACACGGCCCAUACUCCUACGGGAGGCAGCAGUGAGGAAUAUUGGUCAAUGGGCGGAAGCCUGAACCAGCCAUGCCGCGUGCGGGAAGGAGGCCCUAUGGGCUGUGAACCGCUUUUGCCUGGGGGCAAUAAGGGCGUCGCGCACGUCCGAUGAGAGUACCAGGCGAAUAAGCAUCGGCUAACUCCGUG
rnacentral:rRNA from 1 species